AAGUAGGGGAUCGCAAGACCUUGCGCUUUUGGAGCGGCCGAUGUCUGAUUAGCUAGUUGGUGAGGUAAAGGCUUACCAAGGCUUCGAUCAGUAGCUGGUCUGAGAGGACGACCAGCCACACUGGGACUGAGACACGGCCCAGACUCCUACGGGAGGCAGCAGUGGGGAAUUUUGGACAAUGGGGGCAACCCUGAUCCAGCCAUGCCGCGUGAGUGAAGAAGGCCUUCGGGUUGUAAAGCUCUUUCAGCCGGAACGAAAAGGUUACGGUUAAUACCCGUGACUAAU
rnacentral:rRNA from 2 species